rnacentral:rRNA from 1 species
UUGGACAAUGGGCGAAAGCCUGAUCCAGCCAUGCCGCGUGUGUGAAGAAGGUCUUCGGAUUGUAAAGCACUUUAAGUUGGGAGGAAGGGCUGCAAGCUAAUACCUUGUAGUUUUGACGUUACCAACAGAAUAAGCACCGGCUAACUUCGUGCCAGCAGCCGCGGUAAUACGAAGGGUGCAAGCGUUAAUCGGAAUUACUGGGCGUAAAGCGCGCGUAGGUGGUUUGGUAAGAUGGAUGUGAAAUCCCCGGGCUCAAACUGGGAACUGCAUCCAUAACUGCCUGACUAGAGUACGGUAGAGGGUGGUGGAAUUUCGUGUGUAGCGGUGAAAUGCGUAGAUAUAGGAAGGAACACCAGUGGCGAAGGCGACCACCUGGACUGAUACUGACACUGAGGUGCGAAAGCGUGGGGAGCAAACA